CCUGGGAUGAAGCUUUAACUAUAACACUUCCAAGAGCAAAUUUUCCCCUCUGAAGCUAUUGGCUUCUAGAAACUCAUUCUCAUUUGAGUGACUAUAGAUUUUGAAGUAUACUAAGAGCAUGGAAGGGCUAUGGCCAGCAUGGAGCAGGAAAGAAAAUGAGCCUUUGUCUCAAGAGAUGGGAGCAAAGAACCUCCAGAGCAGCAUGGAUGAGAUCACCAUUUCAAUACCAUCACAAUCCUGCUCCAGAGUGUAUGUGUGCCCAGAGACACAUUCAGAAGUCAACUCCUCCCCAGGGCUCUUCAUGACCAACACAACAUGGCAAAGUUGGCAGAAACUUGAAGAAAAGAUUCAUUUGUUUCUUUCUUUCUUUUCUCUCUUUGAUAACGAAAGGAAUAAAGGGUCCUAUAGAU